rnacentral:lncRNA from 1 species
UAGAACUUCUCUCUUUUUUCCUUUUCUCUUUCAUUUCUCCCUCUUCUUUAAAAAAAAAAAUUUGAACUACACACAUUAGGGUUUAUGCUAGUUUAUGCACGGUAGAAGAUUUUUUUUUCUGACCUAGUUGAACCCAAUUUUGAAAUUGAAUGGCUGAUUCAUGUUAAACUUGAUAAUCAAAUGAUUAAAAAUUCUAAAAAACCACCUAGGC